UACCAGCACCCCGAGUGGUCGGGACGUUUUAUUGGGCCUAAAGCAUCCGUAGCCGGUUCUACAAGUCUUCCGUUAAAUCCAGCUGCUUAACAGAUGGGCUGCGGAAGAUACUAUGGAGCUAGGAGGCGGGAGAGGCAAGCGGUACUCGAUGGGUAGGGGUAAAAUCCGUUGAUCCAUUGAAGACCACCAGUGGCGAAGGCGGCUUGCCAGAACGCGCUCGACGGUGAGGGAUGAAAGCUGGGGAGCAAACCGG
rnacentral:rRNA from 1 species